GAUGAAGAACGUAGCGAAAUGCGAUAAGUAGUGUGAAUUGCAGAAUUCAGUGAAUCAUCGAAUUUUUGAACGCACAUUGCGCCCCUUGGUAUCCCGAGGGGCAUGCCUGUUCGAGCGUCAUUCCACCACUCAAGCCUGGCUUGGUGUUGGGCGACGUCCCCUUUGGGGACGCGCCUCGAAACGCUCGGCGGCGUGGCACCGGCUUUAAGCGUAGCAGAAUCUUCCGCUUUGGAAGUCGGGGCCCCGUCUGCCGGAAGACCUACUCGCAAGGUUGACCUCGGAUCAGGCAGGGAUACCCGCUGAACUUAAGCAUAUCAAUAAGCGGAGGA
rnacentral:misc_RNA from 1 species